UACGGGGGGGGUAAGCGUUGUUCGGAAUUACUGGGCGUAAAGGGCUCGUAGGCGGCCAACUAAGUCAUACGUGAAAUCCCUCAGCUUAACUGGGGAACUGCGUGUGAUACUGGAUGGCUUGGAUUUGGGAGAGGGAUGCGGAAUUCCAGGUGUAGCGGUGAAAUGCGUAGAUAUCUGGAGGAACACCGGUGGCGAAGGCGGCAUCCUGGACCAAUAUUGACGCUGAGGAGCGAAAGCCAGGGGAGCAAACGGGG
rnacentral:rRNA from 1 species